GCCUUUGUGGUGUAGUGGUUAGCACGCUCGACGCGUAUUCGAGAGAUCGGUGGUUCGAGUCCCGGUGAGAGCA
rnacentral:tRNA from 1 species